rnacentral:rRNA from 1 species
GGGCUUGCCCUGGGGCGAAGCCGCGAACGGGUGAGUAACACGUGGGUAACCUGCCCCGAUGACUGGGAUAACCCGAGGAAACUCGGGCUAAUACCGGAUGUGCCCUACCGGCGUAAGCCGGCAUGGGAAAGGAAGCUUCGGCCUCCGCAUCGGGAGGGGCCCGCGGCCCAUUAGCUUGUUGGUGAGGUAAAGGCUCACCAAGGCAACAAUGGGUAGCUGGUCUGAGAGGACGAUCAGCCACACUGGGACUGAGACACGGCCCAGACUCCUACGGGAGGCAGCAGUGGGGAAUCUUGCGCAAUGCGCGAAAGCGUGACGCAGCAACGCCGCGUGGGGGAAGAAGGCCUUCGGGUUGUAAACCCCUUUCAGGAGGGACGAAGGUGUGGCGGCGAAUAGCCGACCAUACUGACGGUACCUCCAGAAGAAGCCCCGGCUAACUACGUGCCAGCAGCCGCGGUAAUACGUAGGGGGCUAGCGUUGUCCGGAAUCAUUGGGCGUAAAGCGCGCGUAGGCGGCCCGGUAAGUCCGUUGUGAAAGUCAAAGGCUCAACCUUUGAAUGCCGAUGGAUACUGCCGGGCUAGAGUCCGGAAGAGGCGAGUGGAAUUCCUGGUGUAGCGGUGGAAUGCGCAGAUAUCAGGAGGAACACCGAUAGCGAAGGCAGCUCGCUGGGACGGUACUGACGCUAAGGCGCGAAAGCGUGGGGA